rnacentral:rRNA from 1 species
UGCAAGUCGAGCGGUAACAGGAAUUAGCUUGCUAAUUUGCUGACGAGCGGCGGACGGGUGAGUAACGCGUAGGAAUCUACCUGGUUGUGGGGGACAACAGUUGGAAACGACUGCCAAUACCGCAUACGUCCUAUGGGGGAAAGGCUUCGGCCGCUAUUGGAUGAGCCCGCGUCAGAUUAGCUAGUUGGUAGGGUAAAGGCCUACCAAGGCAACGAUCUGUAGCUGGUCUGAGAGGACGAACAGCCACACUGGGACUGAGACACGGCCCAGACUCCUACGGGAGGCAGCAGUGGGGAAUAUUGGACAAUGGGCGAAAGCCUGAUCCAGCAAUGCCGCGUGUGUGAAGAAGGCCUGCGGGUUGUAAAGCACUUUCAGUUGGGAAGAUGAUGACGUUACCAACAGAAGAAGCACCGGCUAAAUCCGUGCCAGCAGCCGCGGUAAUACGGAUGGUGCGAGCGUUAAUCGGAAUUACUGGGCGUAAAGCGCGCGUAGGCGGCUAAGUCAGUCAGAAGUGAAAGCCCCGGGCUCAACCUGGGAAUUGCUUUUGAUACUGCUUGGCUAGAGUUUGGUAGAGGAUAGUGGAAUUCCAGGUGUAGCGGUGAAAUGCGUAGAUAUCUGGAGGAACAUCAGUGGCGAAGGCGACUGUCUGGACCAAAACUGACGCUGAGGUGCGAAAGCGUGGGUAGCAAACAGGAUUAGAUACCCUGGUAGAAGGGC